CCGUAGGUUCGGGCCCCUCUGGCGGCGUGCGCUGCGAUGUCGAACCUACAUC
rfam:Caulobacteraceae bacterium OTSz_A_272, complete genome.